rnacentral:lncRNA from 1 species
GAUAGCCACAGGGUCUGGGAGAGAGACGGGUGAGCAAGGGGAGCCUGACCAACUACCCUAAAGACCUGGGGCCAGGGAAAGAGGCCUGGAUCCUUCACCACCACCUCUCCUGGCUCCCUGAAGAUGGAGUGUUCUAGCAGAGGUCUAAGCAAGAGCACUGAGCUAGGAGGUUCGGGACUGUCCCCCAGAGGAGAUGGUAUUCGAGCCGGGCCUCCAAGGUGGGAACAGGAGGAAGACGUCCUAGGCGGAGGUGACCGCUGAAGACACUCCCAGAGGUGAGAGGAAAGAGAGAUGCCACGAGGGCAGGAGGCUCGAAAAGACUGCGGUCAGGUCGUGAAGGAACUGCAGGCAGUGCUGGGACUCUGGGCCACGCCCUAUCAGGGUGUGGAGACUUUGAAGCUUUCAGAGGAAGAGACGGAUGCGGCUCCACUGUGCCAAGGACAUAACUCUGCGUCUGACAUAACUCUUCUGUCUGAAGGACAUAACUCUUCUGUCUGAAGAAUGACUUGGAGGCAGCAGGCAUUCAGAGCAGGAAAUCGGUCAGGAGUCUAUUGCGCAUCGUUGGUCUGACAUGCUUGUUCAAUAUUCUGCCUCAUUGACGGGCUCUUUGGAGGCAUCAUCUCCAGGAGAUGAAGGACCAGUCUGGCUCAAGUGGCCUCUCUUUGGAAGAUCUGAUGAUGUCAUCACGUUGCACAGCACUGUCCAGUAGAACUUUCCACAGUGAUGGACACAGCCUACAUCUACCCAGUCCAAUUUGGUGGGGUCAAAGAUAAACAAAGCUGAACACCAGUGAAAGGCGACAAAGACGGAUUUUAUUC